rnacentral:rRNA from 1 species
CCUACGGGGGGCAGCAGUGGGGAAUAUUGCUCAAUGGACGAGACCCUGAAGCAGCAACGCCGCGUGAAGGAUGAAGGUUUUCAGAUUUUAAACUCCUUUUUUUAUAGGAAUUAAUGUCGGUAUCUAACUUGUAUUCACCGUCUAACUCCAUUCCAGCAGCCACAAUAAUACGGAGGGUGCAGGCGUUAUUCGGAGUCACUGGGCGUAAAGAGGGCGUAGGCGGGAUAGCAGGUCAGAUGUGAAAUCCUAUGGCUUAACCAUAGAACUGCAUUUGAUACUGGUAUUCUAGAGUAUGGGAGAGGUAGGCGGAAUUCUUGGUGUAGGGGUAAAAUCCGUAGAGAUCAAGAGGAAUACUGAUUGCGAAGGCGACUUGCUAGACUAUAACUGACGCUGAUGCGCGAAAGUGUGGGGAGCAAACAGGAUUAGAUACCCGAGUAGUC